rnacentral:rRNA from 1 species
CCUACGGGAGGCAACAGUAAGGAAUAUUGGUCAAUGGGCGGAAGCCUGAACCAGCCAUGCCGCGUGCAGGAAGACGGCCCUAUGGGUUGUAAACUGCUUUUGUACCGGAAUAAACCCCCGAACGUGUUCGGGGCUGAAUGUACGGUAAGAAUAAGGAUCGGCUAACUCCGUGCCAGCAGCCGCGGUAAUACGGAGGAUCCGAGCGUUAUCCGGAUUUAUUGGGUUUAAAGGGUGCGUAGGCGGCCUGUUAAGUCAGGGGUUGAAAGACGGUAGCUCAACUAUCGCAGUGCCUUUGAUACUGACGGGCUUGAAUGUACUUGAGGUAGGCGGAAUGUGACAAGUAGCGGUGAAAUGCAUAGAUAUGUCACAGAACACCAAUUGCGAAGGCAGCUUACUAAGGUAUGAUUGACGCUGAGGCACGAAAGCGUGGGGAUCAAACAGGAUUAGAUACCCUGGUAGUCCACGCCUAACGAUGAUACUCGAUGUUGGCGAUAUACGGCCAGCGUCUAAGCGAAAGCGUUAAGUAUUCCACCUGGGAGUACGCCGCAGGUGAACUCAAGGAUUGACGGCUGAGCGNGCGAGNGACGACGAGGAGAG